rnacentral:tRNA from 1 species
AGUCUUGUAUUCAAUGAUGAUUUUAGAUUGCAAAUCUAAAGGUAAAGUAAAACUUUUAAGGCUU